rnacentral:ncRNA from 1 species
ACAAUAGUGGCGCACGGGUGCGUAACGCGUAGCCAACCUACCCGAAUCUGGGGGAUAGCCCGCCGAAAGGCGGAUUAAUACCGCAUAAAACUGCAGUCCGGCAUCGGGCAACAGUUAAAGAUUUAUUGGAUUCGGAUGGGGCUGCGUGCCAUUAGCUGGUUGGGGAGGUAACGGCUCACCAAGGCGACGAUGGCUAGGGGAGCUGAGAGGCUGGUCCCCCACACGGGCACUGAGAUACGGGCCCGACUCCUACGGGAGGCAGCAGUAGGGAAUAUUGGGCAAUGGGCGAGAGCCUGACCCAGCCAUGCCGCGUGCAGGACGAAGGCUUUCUGAGUCGUAAACUGCUUUUCUCAGGGAAGAAAAAAGGGGAUGCGUCCCCUACUGACGGUACCUGAGGAAUAAGCACCGGCUAACUCCGUGCCAGCAGCCGCGGUAAUACGGAGGGUGCAAGCGUUGUCCGGAUUUAUUGGGUUUAAAGGGUGCGUAGGCGGCCGUUUAAGUCCGGGGUGAAAGCCCACUGCUCAACAGUGGAACUGCCCUGGAAACUGGACGGCUUGAGUACAGACGAGGGCGGCGGAAUGGAGGGUGUAGCGGUGAAAUGCAUAGAUACCCUCCAGAACACCGAUUGCGAAG